AGGCCCUUUUCAGUUUACUUAUUGCACACGUUCGUAUUAUAACUGUUCGCGGGAUAGUAGUGUUAGUGUUUGUCCGUGUGAUCCUAAUCUGCAUGUUCUUUCAGAGUUUUUGUUUUCAAACCUCCAAACAACUUUGUAAAUUACGAAUGAGCCUGUACACAGUUUCUCCAUUGAAACUCGGAGUUGAAGUUAAUGGAAUAGAUUUGAAGAAAGAAAUCCCAUACGAAGUGGUUCAGCAGAUUAAAGCAGAUGUGACCAAACAUCGAGUAAUGGUUUUCAGAGGCCAAGGAAUUGUUGAAGGCAAAAGGCAUAUUCAAAUAAGUCAGUGGUUUGGAGAACUUGAAUCAACUUUUUACAGACAUUCUAAGUCUCCUGAUUUGGAUAUCUUCAGAGUCUCUAAUGUCUCAUCAGAGGGGUGUACAAAUGUUGGUCGAACUGGAUGGCAUAUUGAUGGAAGUUUCAUGAAAGCACCAUUCAGUCACUCACUGUACCACAUCAUAUCUGUUCCAAAGAAAGGGGACACGGUUUUUGCACCUCUAACUGAGCUUAUUGAAGGGCUUAGCUGUGAAAAAUAUCAUCGUUGGGAACGGCUUUGGAUGGUUAGUGAUAGACAAGAAAGUAUUAUUCAUCCACUAAUCUAUUCUCACCCAGUGACGAAAAAGAAGGUUAUGUGUUUUCACUUGGGAAUGACAAAAGAAUUCUUAUGGGAUUAUGAAACUCCCCAACAACUCCGGACAACUGAUGCUGAAACAAUCGAGAUUCUUGAAGAAAUCCACCAGGAAUUUGUGAAAGAUAAUAAAGCUAUUCAAUAUUCUCAUAAGUGGGAACCAGGUGAUUUCAUAAUUUCUGACAACCUAGCUGUGGGUCAUGAAGCAAGUCCUGAGACUCAGUACCAUCCUUCGGAUGUAGGCUUAAGAGUAAUGCACAGAACAACAGUCAAAGGCCAGCAUGUUCCAACAAAAGAGUAUCCUCUGGAAUAAGGUGCUUUACUCUGUACAUAUGGAACCUGCAGUAAUCUAUCACCUUGUAACUCCUGCCAUUGAAAGAUCUUUGUUUCUUUGUUUCUUAG
rnacentral:misc_RNA from 1 species